rnacentral:tRNA from 1 species
CUUAAUUUAUUUUAAAAAGAAUAUUAAAUUGCAAAUUUAAUGGUUGACUUACAUUAUUCAAAUUAAAU